CUACGGAGGGUCCGAGCGUUAUCCGGAAUCAUUGGGUUUAAAGGGUCCGUAGGCGGGAAUCUAAGUCAGUGGUGAAAUCUUGCAGCUCAACUGUAAAAUUGCCAUUGAUACUGGAUUUCUUGAAUUAGUGUGAAGUGGUUAGAAUGUGUAGUGUAGCGGUGAAAUGCAUAGAUAUUACACAGAAUACUAAUUGCGAAGGCAGAUCACUAACACUAUAUUGACGCUAAGGGACGAAAGCGUGGGGAGCGAACAGAAUUAGAAACCCCGGUAGUCC
rnacentral:rRNA from 1 species